rnacentral:rRNA from 1 species
UUUGUAGAAUGAACCGGCGAGUUACGAUUUGUUGCAAGGUUAAGCGGAAAAAGCGGAGCCGUAGCGAAAGCGAGUCUGAAUAGGGCGCAUAAGUAACAGGUCGUAGACCCGAAACCAGGUGAUCUACCCAUGUCCAGGAUGAAGGUAAGGUAAUACUUACUGGAGGUCCGAACCCACGCACGUUGAAAAGUGCGGGGAUGAGGUGUGGGUAGCGGAGAAAUUCCAAUCGAACUUGGAGAUAGCUGGUUCUCUCCGAAAUAGCUUUAGGGCUAGCCUCGAGGUAAAGAGUCAUGGAGGUAGAGCACUGUUUGGACUAGGGGCCCUUCUCGGGUUACCGAAUUCAGAUAAACUCCGAAUGCCAUGUACUUAUACUCGGGAGUCAGACUGCGAGUGAUAAGAUCCGUAGUCGAAAGGGAAACAGCCCAGACCACCAGUUAAGGUCCCCAAAUAUAUGUUAAGUGGAAAAGGAUGUGGGGUUGCUUAGACAACCAGGAUGUUGGCUUAGAAGCAGCCACCAUUGAAAGAGUGCGUAAUAGCUCACUGGUCGAGUGACCCCGCGCCGAAAAUGUACCGGGGCUAAACAUAUUACCGAAACUGUGGAUGAACCUCUUUAGAGGUUCGUGGUAGGAGAGCGUUCUAAGGGCGGUGAAGUCAGACCGGAAGGACUGGUGGAGCGCUUAGAAGUGAGAAUGCCGGUAUGAGUAGCGAAAGAAGGGUGAGAAUCCCUUCCACCGAAUAUCUAAGGUUUCCUGAGGAAGGCUCGUCCGCUCAGGGUUAGUCGGGACCUAAGCCGAGGCCGAUA